rnacentral:rRNA from 1 species
AUACGGAGGGGGCAAGCGUUGUUCGGAAUUACUGGGCGUAAAGGGCGCGUAGGCGGACGAUUAAGUUAGAGGUGAAAGCCCUGGGCUCAACCUGGGAACUGCCUUUGAAACUGAUAGUCUAGAGUCCGAGAGAGGAUGGCGGAAUUCCCAGUGUAGAAGUUAAAUACGUAGAUAUUGGGAAGAACACCAGUGGCGAAGGCGGCCAUCUGGCUCGGUACUGACGCUGAGGCGCGAAAGCGUGGGGAGCAAACAGGAUUAGAUACCCGAGUAGUCC